AGACGACACGGGCAGAGGCUGCAUGGGCUGCAAGCCCCUGAAAUGUCAACUCCGGGUCUGCCCCCACUUGGCGCACCAGCAGCCUCCCACCCUCUUCCUCAGGUCUGCAGAACAGGUUACAAGGAGAGAGACUGGCUUACCCGAUGGGGUGAGCGGUCUGCUGGGUUAGGUGCCAGAGACGGCAGCGCAGGCACCGGCCUCUCCUUGAUGCACAAUGGCUCUGCUUCGCCCCAC
rnacentral:lncRNA from 1 species